AAUUACUGGGUGUAAAGGGAGCGCAGGCGGGAAGACAAGUUGGAAGUGAAAUCUAUGGGCUCAACCCAUAAACUGCUUUCAAAACUGUUUUUCUUGAGUAGUGCAGAGGUAGGCGGAAUUCCCGGUGUAGCGGUGGAAUGCGUAGAUAUCGGGAGGAACACCAGUGGCGAAGGCGGCCUACUGGGCACCAACUGACGCUGAGGCUCGAAAGUGUGGGUAGCAAACAGGAUAAGAUACCCUGGUAGUCCACACCGUAAACGAUGAUUACUAGGUGUUGGAGGAUUGACCCCUUCAGUGCCGCAGUUAACACAAUAAGUAAUCCACCUGGGGAGUACGACCGCAAGGUUGAAACUCAAAGGAAUUGACGGGGGCCCGCACAAGCAGUGGAGUAUGUGGUUUAAUUCGACGCAACGCGAAGAACCUUACCAAGUCUUGACAUCCUGCGACGAUGCUGGAAACAGUAUUUUCCUUCGGGACGCAGAGACAGGUGGUGCAUGGUUGUCGUCAGCUCGUGUCGUGAGAUGUUGGGUUAAGUCCCGCAACGAGCGCAACCCUUACUGUCAGUUACUACGCAAGAGGACUCUGGCAGGACUGCCGUUGACAAAACGGAGGAAGGUGGGGAUGACGUCAAAUCAUCAUGCCCUUUAUGACUUGGGCUACACACGUACUACAAUGGCGUUAAACAAAGAGAAGCAAGACCGCGAGGUGGAGCAAAACUCAGAAACAACGUCCCAGUUCGGACUGCAGGCUGCAACUCGCCUGCACGAAGUCGGAAUUGCUAGUAAUCGUGGAUCAGCAUGCCACGGUGAAUACGUUCCCGGGCCUUGUACACACCGCCCGUCAA
rnacentral:rRNA from 1 species